UUCAUUCCAGUUUUGCAGCCGAGAGAUCGUUCCUUUCGCAUUUCUUUGAAGCCAUUCGUAUUCUUCCCUAUUCCUUGUAUCAUAUCAGUCGUCACCAGGAAUCAUUAUCUUAUAUUGGCUUACAGUUUCUUUACUACCAGAUCGUUCUGUUCACUCUGCUUUCCUUGCAAUUCGUAUUCAUGCCCCUUAAAUCCAGACGACAGAUGGCGGUUCAGAUUUGGUAGCGCAAAGGGAGCAAGAGAGACAGUGAUAUAUUUAUUCUUCUUCUUCGCGUGGCGGAAUCCUAGCAAGCAACAAAGCGAGCGAGCCCUCUGGGGCAUCGGAUCGGAGUACUAAUACUUUUGAGAGGUUAUAUAAAGGAUGACCAUGAGAAAACUGGCAGGCGCCCUGCCGAGGGCCCCACCUCCACCGAAACGAUCUCCUGUUUGGACUCCUCGCCGACGUCCACGUGUCCCUUCAGUGGCCCCACCGCCGCCGCCACUAUAGAACCUUCAAUUUCCAGACCAGAACGCAUGUGUACGUGUAAAUAUGGGUUGUUUAAUUUCUUCAAGAGAUUAUAUUAUGGCAUGAAAUAAUAAUGCCCUAGGGCAGCGAAUGUAAGGUGAUUAAAUUAAUGGAUAGCCUUACUGUUGAACAGUGUCUGUGCCUCACUGAUGCAACAUGGUAUCACAGUCGAAGGUUUUAUCCUUUUGUUGUUGCAUAUUUCAUUCGUUAUCCAUAAGAGAUUUUCUUCUUA